UUAGUAUUGAGAGUUCUUAAUACGAAUAUUAAACGAGUGGUGUGUUCAAGUUUUAACUACUUAAUAAAAUACCUUUAUAUGAACCUCUGUUCAAGUUUUAACUAUUUAAUAAAAUAUUUUUAGAUGGACAUGACAUGAUGAUUAUCAAUUGCCACCCCCUAAUUUAUAUAAAUAAUGAUGAAUUUACCAAAAAAAAAUAAAAAAAAUAAAAAAUUGCUAGACUUUACUGGUAAGUGGUAAUGACUAUAUAUCGCCACGUAAUUCUAAUUUUCUUUGGAUCCACAGUCCCCACCACAGUCUCUUCUUCUUUCUCCAGCUGGUGAGUGGUGAUAUGUUACUCCUUUUUGCGAGUUGAAGUUGCAGGUUGUCUCUCUUCUCUUCUCAUUUUGUAUUCCUAAACUAAACAAUGCUAGGUAGGCUUUGACAAUUGCUACAAAUCUAAGUGGUGCUGUCAAAAUCUAAGUGGUUUCACAAUUGCUACAAAUGGAGAACACUGUCAAUUCCAUUAGAUUGAUUGUUCCCAACCUCACAUUCAUAUACAUUUUUUUUCUUUUCCCCCUCUUUUUUAACUACACAUAUACAUGCAUAUAUUUGUUUAACUAAUUCACCAAUCACAGUCAACAGUUUAUUUUGGUCGCAAACCUCUUUUGCACUUUGAUCAAACUAUUCAAAUUCAGUUUUUCAGUCAACAAGUUGGUUACCCAAACUCCCCUGGAAUAUAAACAAAUAGUAACCAAGUCUACUAACCAUAUUCACCCCUUACUUAGUUCAUGAAUAAAUCAUCCAGCUUUUAGUUGGCGAUUGUAUUAACCCUUGGGGAAGUACUAUUUUUUUUCUUUCUAUAAUCUGCACCUAAGCUGUUUGAUGAAAUGCUUUUUGUUUUUAUGGGUUUAAAGUAGCCUUCUUUUUAAAAAUGCUUCAUGGUUCAUUAGUCUAGAGCUAGGCACUAAGGGCCUGUUUGGCAAUUGUAAUGUUAACAUGGAAAAAUGCAACAACAAAACAUAUGUUUUUCUAUUGUAAGAUGGAUGGGCUUGAAUUAAAGUCUCAACCUUCCAUUUGGCUCAAAUUAUUAAAUGUAUUGUUCUAUAAUCCUUUUUUAUUUUCUUUACCAAUUCAUUGGAAAAAUGCAAGGAAUGGAGGUUUAUGCCCUCUCGUCCGCGCCAGGUGUUUCAUACUGUAAAAUUUUGGAUCACCUUAGCUUAUUGUUCAUUUUUUAAUAUUAUUUUUAUUGGAAAGCAACAUAUAACAAGCAGGGAAAAAAAAAAGCACACACACAUUACAGUUUACGGGGCAUGCCACCCAACAAGAGAAGGCAACAUUUAGUUAAGAAAGAGAUAGAACCCAUUUUUUCCUAAGAGGAUAUGAAGAAUGCUUCCACAACCGAAGCAACAUGCCCUAAGUGUGGGUUUGGGAAGGCUGCUUUCCAGCAAAUUCAGAUCGGGUCAGCUGAUGAGCUGAUGUCAACAUUUUACAAGUGCUUGAAUGAGCAUUGUGGAGAGCAGUGGCGCGAGGACUAAAUACUUGGCAUGCCUGCAUUUAUCUUUGCUGCAAUGCAGGUUGGACGUGGCCAUCCUUUCAUGUUUUUGAGUGUCAUUCUCUUUUGGUUGCUUGUAGUCUCGAGUGAAAUUCCCUUUUGGUUGCUACAAUUUUGAGUGAAAUGAUUUUUUGUUCCAUGAGUCAGUUUACAGAAAUGAAAAGCCUAAUAUUUUAUAAUUCAA